rnacentral:rRNA from 1 species
CCUACGGGGUGCAGCAGUAGGGAAUAUUGCUCAAUGGGGGAAACCCUGAAGCAGCAACGCCGCGUGGAGGAUGAAGGUUUUCGGAUUGUAAACUCCUUUUGUUAGAGAAGAUAAUGACGGUAUCUAACGAAUAAGCACCGGGUAACUCCGUGCCAGCAGCCGGGGUAAUACGGAGGGUGCAAGCGUUACUCGGAAUCACUGGGCGUAAAGGGCGCGUAGGCGGGAUAGCAAGUCAGAUGUGAAAUCCUAUGGCUUAACCAUAGAACUGCAUUUGAAACUGUUAUUCUAGAGUAUGGGAGAGGUAGGUGGAAUUAUUGGUGUAGGGGUAAAAUCCGUAGAGAUCAAGAAGAAUACUCAUUGCGAAGGCGACCUGCUAGAACAUAACUGACGCUGAUGCGCGAAAGCGUGGGGAGCAAACAGGAUUAGAUACCCGGGUAGUC